ACGUAGGGAGCGAGCGUUGUCCGGAAUCAUUGGGCGUAAAGAGCGCGUAGGUGGGUAAAUCAGUCUGCUGUGAAAGUCAAAGGCUCAACCUUUGAAAGCCGGUGGAUACUGCCAAUCUAGAGUACGGAAGAGGCGAGUGGAAUUCCUGGUGUAGCGGUGGAAUGCGCAGAUAUCAGGAGGAACACCAAUAGCGAAGGCAGCUCGCUGGGACGUUACUGACACUGAGGCGCGAAAGCGUGGGGAGCAAACAGGAUUAGAUACCCUGGUAGUCCACGCCGUAAACGAUGGGUACUAGGUGUGGGAGGUGUCGACUCCUCCCGUACCGCAGCUAACGCACUAAGUACCCCGCCUGGGGAGUACGGCCGCAAGGCUA
rnacentral:rRNA from 1 species